GUACUGGAGGUGGUGGGGGUAGAGGGGUAGGGUCAGGGUGAGGUGUGUUGAGGGCUGUUGAGAGGUACUGGAGGUGGUGGGGGUAGAGGGGUAGGGUCAGGGUGAGGUGUGUUGAGGGCUGUUGAGAGGUACUGGAGGUGGUGGGGGUAGAGGGGUAGGGUCAGGGUGAGGUGUGUUGAGGGCUGUUGAGAGGUACUGGAGGUGAUGGGCGUAGAGGGGUAGGGUCAGGGUGAGGUGUGUUGAGGGCUGUUGAAAGGUACUGGAGGUGGUGGGGGUAGAGGGGUAGGGUCAGGGUGAGGUGUGUUGAGAGGUACUGGAGGUGAUGGGCGUAGAGGGGUAGGGUCAGGUUGAGGUGUGUUGAGGGCUGUUGAAAGGUACUGGAGGUGGUGGGGGUAGAGGGGUAGGGUCAGGGUGAGGUGUGUUGAGAGGUACUGGAGGUGGUGGGGAUAGAGG